rnacentral:tRNA from 1 species
UCCGCCGUCGCCAGGGCGACGGUGGCGGCCGCCCAGGCCGCCCUCGCGGCGGAGCACGCCGCCGUGUACGGCUUCGGCGUCGUCGGCGGUC